CCUACGGGCGGCAGCAGUGGGGAAUAUUGCACAAUGGGGGAAACCCUGAUGCAGCGACGCCGCGGGAGUGAAGAAGUAAUUCGUUACGUAAAGCUCUAUCAGCAGGGAAGAAAUACUGACCUUACGGUCAGCAGACGGUAACUGAGUAAGAAGCCCCGGCUAACUACGUGCCAGCAGCCGCGGUAAUACGUAGGGGGAAAGCGUUUGCCGGAUUAACUGGGUGUAAAGGGAGCGUAGACGGUGCGCCAAGGUUGGAGUGAAAUGCCGCAGCUGAACUGCGGAACUGCUUUGGAAACUGGCGAACUAGAGUGCGGGAGGGGUAAGCGGAAUUCCUAGGGUAGCGGUGAAAUGCGUAGAUAUUAGGAGGAACACCGGUGGCGAAGGCGGCUUACUGGACCGUAACUGACGUUGAGGCUCGAAAGCGUGGGGAGCAAACAGGAUUAGAUACCCUUGUAGUC
rnacentral:rRNA from 1 species